UACGCAGGGGGCUAGCGUUGCUCGGAAUCACUGGGCGUAAAGCGCACGUAGGCGGCUUUUUAAGUCAGAGGUGAAAUCCUGGAGCUCAACUCCAGAACUGCCUUUGAUACUGGAGAGCUUGAGUCCGGGAGAGGUGAGUGGAACUGCGAGUGUAGAGGUGAAAUUCGUAGAUAUUCGCAAGAACACCAGUGGCGAAGGCGGCUCACUGGCCCGAUACUGACGCUGAGGCACGAAAGCGUGGGGAGCAAACAGG
rnacentral:rRNA from 1 species